AAGUGUAGCCGCCCAGGAAGCAUGGCGGCGUGACUGGCUUGCUCGCUGGAGUACGCGUGCAUCUAUUGGAUGGUGCGCGCGGCUCCGUUCAACUUGCCUGUCUGCGUCACGCGCAUGGACAUUAGAUUGACGUGCGGCUGCCUGCACACUAGCAAGGGGGUGUCACUCACCAGGACACGACGGCGGCAAUGCAAGCCAAGGGGGGCUGUCGUUCGCCACGCUUUAGCAAGGAGCGUCUCCUUUGAAGAGGGGGUGGCGUUGUUCGUCGGUCUCCACCUGGGGCUUCUUCGCGUCCUCAUGAGCACAAUGGGGAGCCGCAUCGAUGAACAAAUCCGAGUGGAUCGCUGCCUCUCUAGUCUACUUCACCACUUCCUGUACAUCUCACCAAGGUGUAGCUUCGGGUGCAGCAAGGCUUUACUGCAGCGGAACCAGGAUGCAAAGGCUGCAAGUGGUUUAUAAAGUUCAAGUACUGUGUACCUGGUGAAGCUACUCACUUUAGAUAAUGAAGAGGAGGACGAGAAGACAUGCAGGGUAUCUGGACCUGUAGCUGGUUGCAGCCUGCAUCACUUGCAAGCUGGAAGACCCUAAGACAAG